ACGCUGGCGGCACGCCUUAUACAUGCAAGUCGAACGAAGUAGCAAUACUUAGUGGCAGACGGGUGAGUAACAUGUAGGUAUCUUCCCUUUGGUGAGGAAUAACACGAGGAAACUUGUGCUAAUACCUCAUAAGUCUUUACGGAGAAAGCUUUAUGCGCCGAAGGAUGAGCCUGCACUUGAUUAGUUUGUUGGUGGGGUAAUGGCCUACCAAGACUGUGAUCUAUAGCUGAUCUGAGAGGAUGAUCAGCCACAUUGGGACUGAGACACGGCCCAAACUCCUACGGGAGGCAGCAGUAGGGAAUAUUGCACAAUGGAGGAAACUCUGAUGCAGCGAUGCCGCGUGAGUGAAGAAGGCCUUUGGGUUGUAAAGCUCUUUCGUCGGGGAAGAAAAUGACUGUACCCGAAUAAGAAGGUCCGGCUAACUUCGUGCCAGCAGCCGCGGUAAUACGAAGGGACCUAGCGUAGUUCGGAAUUACUGGGCUUAAAGAGUUCGUAGGUGGUUAAAAAAGUUGGUGGUGAAAUCCCAGAGCUUAACUCUGGAACUGCCAUCAAAACUUUUUAGCUAGAGUAUGAUAGAGGAAAGCAGAAUUUCUAGUGUAGAGGUGAAAUUCGUAGAUAUUAGAAAGAAUACCAAUUGCGAAGGCAGCUUUCUGGAUCAUUACUGACGCUGAGGAACGAAAGCAUGGGUAGCGAAGAGGAUUAGAUACCCUCGUAGUCCAUGCCGUAAACGAUGUGUGUUAGACGUUGGAAAUUUAUUUUCAGUGUCGCAGUGAAAGCAUUAAACACACCGCCUGGGGAGUACGACC
rnacentral:rRNA from 1 species